UUGAACGCUGGCGGCAUGCCUUACACAUGCAAGUCGAACGGUAACAGGUCUUCGGAUGCUGACGAGUGGCGAACGGGUGAGUAAUACAUCGGAACGUGCCCGAUCGUGGGGGAUAACGCAGCGAAAGCUGUGCUAAUACCGCAUACGACCUGAGGGUGAAAGCGGGGGAUCGCAAGACCUCGCGCGAUAGGAGCGGCCGAUAUCGGAUUAGCUAGUUGGUGAGGUAAAGGCUCACCAAGGCGACGAUCCGUAGCUGGUCUGAGAGGACGACCAGCCACACUGGAACUGAGACACGGUCCAGACUCCUACGGGAGGCAGCAGUGGGGAAUUUUGGACAAUGGGCGAAAGCCUGAUCCAGCCAUGCCGCGUGAGUGAAGAAGGCCUUCGGGUUGUAAAGCUCUUUCAGCCGGAAAGAAAUCGCGCAGGCUAAUACUCUGCGUGGAUGACGGUACCGGAAGAAGAAGCACCGGCUAACUACGU
rnacentral:rRNA from 1 species